rnacentral:lncRNA from 1 species
AUGUCACUCUGGAAGGGAGACAGCAGCAACCAGGCUGUGCAAGUGAGUGGUGGAAGACGAAGGAUCUCUGAAGCCUCAUCAGUCAUCGGGACCAUCAGGAAUAGUGGUUUAAGAGGACGCUCGGCCUGGGGCACUAUACCUGUCAUCGAGUUCCCUGCCUCGGAGAUAAAGAUUCCAGCUACAUGGGUAAACGCCUGGAUCAGCCACAAAUGUACCCCCAGUACACUUACUACUAUCCUCACUGUCUCUAAACCAAGGUAUGGCUCGACCCACAGUCUGGCAAGCAGUGUGUAUCCUGCACUUGGGAUGGGAAACAGGCAUGUGGAUUAUUAUUUACCUCCCCUUUCCCAUCACCUCUUCCUGCUUCUUUGAAAUUAGUAACAUAGCAAUGGAGUUAAUAAGGCAGAGGAGAAUAUGAGAAGAAAGCAAGCCCUGGGAUUGUGGUUUUUCUCUUCUAGCAGAGAUAAUAGUUUCGCUCGUGUUCCUUUGUUGUUAUUUGGCAACAUAAAGAUGUUCCUGAUAUCCGUAGUAAAGUGCUUUGCAGAUGGACAGGGUUGUUAGAAAGGAGAUUGUGACAGUGAUUAUCAGGAACAACAACGAUUUCAGAGGCUUUUCUGGUGAGCUGUUCUUUGUGGCUCUGAAAGGGUUUUUCUCACUGGAUAGGAUGCACCAGGGUGGGGGCAACUCAGACUUUCAAUCACAGAGUAUAGAAUGAAAGAAGGGUGUGGGAAGGUAUAGUACGACUAACUGACGUCCCGUAGAGUUUGUUUGGGUGUGCUUUUGUUUUUGUGUAUUUGCCUUACAUAUUUUAUUUUAUAUGGAGGGUGAUCAAGACUCUAGAGACUGAAGUUUGGAGCUUUACAAUAGAUGUUCUUUACUUUUCGAAGCUCUGUUUUUCUGUGCUGGCUGCCAUCAGGAGGCCUGUGGGUCUUGAAACGGGAUGAAAUAUAACUGAUGAUAAUUGGACACGAAUUGGUUAAAUACUUUAGUCUUGGGAUCCCUGGGUGGCGCAGUGGUUUGGCGCCUGCCUUUGGCCCAGGGCGUGAUCCUGGAGACCUGGGAUCGAAUCCCACGUGGGCUCCCGGUGCAUGGAGCCUGCUUCUCCCUCUGCCUAUGUCUCUGCCUCUCUCUGUGUGUGACUAUCAUAAAUAAAUAAAAAAAAUUAAAAAAAUUUUUUAAUACUUUAGUCUUUAUGUGUGUGCGUAAAUGACCAUUACGGGGCCAGUGGAAAGCCCACGUAACUAAGCAGUGGGCAGUGCCAACCAUGAACUUGAUCCUGCAGUUCAGACCUGAAAGGCUCUCAGGUGUGAAAUCACUGCUCCAAUUUGUCAGUUAAAUUGGACUUGAUGAGUUGGGGGGGAGGGUGUCGGUAGAGUUAUCGCUUUGAAUGUAUGGGUUAUGUUUCUUUACAGGUGAUAUUAAUUUUGUAUCGCAUUAGCCAGACUCCAC